UCAACUCACGAGAUUCUGAAUUUCUCAAUUUAUUCGAACUUUUUCCAGCACACUAACCAGUCAACCACUUUCUGCUCCACCCUAAUUUCUGGCUUUUGUCCAUGCCAGCCUGAUUCGUAAAAUUUAAUUCCUACCCUGCCGAAGCCAUGAAGUCUCAGAUUGCUCUCGUUCUCAUCAUCACCUUAUCUCUCGCUCUUGGAAGCACAGUUCCCAGCCAAAAUGCAGGUUUCUGUUCCGAUAUGAGGUACGCGUGCGGGGAGGAUGCAGCAUCCGUGGGAGAAUGCACUGAGGACACUCCAGCUCGAGCAGUUUGUCUCCGUCCGCUAUCAUUACAUUUCAGACUUCAAUGUCUCGCAAUGGAGUGCGAUUUUACUGAAAAGUCCCCAAACUACAUUUGCGUCUGCCAGAACAUCUAUGGAUAUAAGAAAUUAAAUUAAUUAGCUUGAAGUAAGAUAAAAAUUAAAAUAUUUCAGUGCACAAUUUGU